GCUCAGGUCGCAUAACCUGGUAUUGCGAGGGUCUCAAAAACCCUUAUCCUCACCGGAUCUCUGGGUUCAAAUCCCAGCCUGAGCG
rnacentral:tRNA from 1 species